CUAAAAGGAACACAAAAAUGCAGUUGUCAAACCAUGAAAACUGAAAUCACCAAAGUUCCUGCCCAGGAGACCUGUUCCACUCAUAUCUGUGCUUGUCACCAUGUCUGGGCAGUGACUCACAGGAUGGCCCAGAGCAUCCGUGAAGGAAGCAACCAGCUGAAAAGGAUCCCUCACAGCCACAUCCCUCGUGCUUGCACGGCUUCCAGUGUUUGCAUUUCCCCUUGGCUGGUGUGACUCAGGGCUGAGGAGGAGGAGGGAGCAGAGGCGACGUGAGACUUGCACAGCCGUACUUCGUGUUUUCCUGUGAUCCUCUGCUUGGCUUUGGG